rnacentral:rRNA from 1 species
CAGUGCCGUUGAUACUGUAGAGCUAGGAUUAGGUUGCUGUGGGCGGAAUGUGUGGUGUAGCGGUGAAAUGCUUAGAGAUCACACAGAAUAUCGAUUGCGAAGGCAGCUCACAAAGCCUAAAUUGACGCUGAGGCACGAAAGUGUGGGGAUCGAACGGGAUUAGAUACCCCGGUAGUCCUAGCUGUAAACGAUGGGCACUUGGUGUUGGGGGUAUUGAGUCCCCCGGUGCCGGAGUUAACACGUUAAGUGCCCCGCCUGGGGAGUACGGUCGCAAGACUGAAACUCAGAGGAAUUGACGGGGGCCCGCACAAGCGGUGGAGCAUGUGGUUCAAUUCGACGCAACGCGAAGAACCUUACCGGGGCUUGAACUGUAACUGCUACACUUGGAAACAGGUGGUUCUCUUCGGAGACGGUUAUAGAGGUGCUGCAUGGCUGUCGUCAGCUCGUGUCGUGAGAUGUUGGGUUAAGUCCCGCAACGAGCGCAACCCUUGCCCUUAGUUGCUACCAGGUUAAGCUGAGCACCCUAAGGGUACUGUCGGCGAAAAGCCGGAGGAAGGUGGGGAUGACGUCAAGUCCUCAUGGCCCUUACGUCCCGGGCUACACACGUGCUACAAUGGUCGGUACAAAGGGUCGCCAACCCGCGAGGGGGAGCUAAUCCCAAAAACCCGACCCCAGUUCGGAUUGCAGUCUGCAACUCGA